rnacentral:rRNA from 1 species
CGAAUGCUGACAUAAGUAACGAUAAUGCGGGUGAAAAACCCGCACGCCGGAAGACCAAGGGUUCCUGUCCAACGUUAAUCGGGGCAGGGUGAGUCGACCCCUAAGGCGAGGCCGAAAGGCGUAGUCGAUGGGAAACAGGUUAAUAUUCCUGUACUUGGUGUUACUGCGAAGGGGGGACGGAGAAGGCUAUGUUAGCCGGGCGACGGUUGUCCCGGUUUAAGCAUGUAGGCGGAGGUUCCAGGUAAAUCCGGUACCUUUUUAACGCUGAGGUGUGAUGACGAGGCACUACGGUGCUGAAGUAACAAAUGCCCUGCUUCCAGGAAAAGCCUCUAAGCAUCAGGUAACACGAAAUCGUACCCCAAACCGACACAGGUGGUCAGGUAGAGAAUACCAAGGCGCUUGAGAGAACUCGGGUGAAGGAACUAGGCAAAAUGGUGCCGUAACUUCGGGAGAAGGCACGCUGAUAUGUAGGUGAAGUGAUUUACUCAUGGAGCUGAAAUCAGUCGAAGAUACCAGCUGGCUGCAACUGUUUAUUAAAAACACAGCACUGUGCAAACACGAAAGUGGACGUAUACGGUGUGACGCCUGCCCGGUGCCGGAAGGUUAAUUGAUGGGGUUAUCCGUAAGGAGAAGCUCUUGAUCGAAGCCCCGGUAAACGGCGGCCGUAACUAUAACGGUCCUAAGGUAGCGAAAUUCCUUGUCGGGUAAGUUCCGACCUGCACGAAUGGCGUAAUGAUGGCCAGGCUGUCUCCACCCGAGACUCAGUGAAAUUGAACUCGCUGUGAAGAUGCAGUGUACCCGCGGCAAGACGGAAAGACCCCGUGAACCUUUACUAUAGCUUGACACUGAACACUGGUCCUUGAUGUGUAGGAUAGGUGGGAGGCUUUGAAGUGUGGACGCCAGUCUGCAUGGAGCCAUCCUUGAAAUACCACCCUUUAAUGGCUGGUGUUCUAACGUGGACCCGUAAUCCGGGUUGCGGACAGUGUCUGGUGGGUAGUUUGACUGGGGCGGUCUCCUCCUAAAGAGUAACGGAGGAGCACGAAGGUUAGCUAAUCCUGGUCGGACAUCAGGAGGUUAGUGCAAAGGCAUAAGCUAGCUUGACUGCGAGAGUGACGGCUCGAGCAGGUGCGAAAGCAGGUCUUAGUGAUCCGGUGGUUCUGAAUGGAAGGGCCAUCGCUCAACGGAUAAAAGGUACUCCGGGGAUAACAGGCUGAUACCGCCCAAGAGUUCAUAUCGACGGCGGUGUUUGGCACCUCGAUGUCGGCUCAUCACAUCCUGGGGCUGAAGUAGGUCCCAAGGGUAUGGCUGUUCGCCAUUUAAAGUGGUACGCGAGCUGGGUUUAGAACGUCGUGAGACAGUUCGGUCCCUAUCUGCCGUGGGCGCUGGAGAAUUGAGGGGGGCUGCUCCUAGUACGAGAGGACCGGAGUGGACGCAUCACUGGUGUUCGGGUUGUCAUGCCAAUGGCAUUGCCCGGUAGCUAAAUGCGGAAGAGAUAAGUGCUGAAAGCAUCUAAGCACGAAACUUGCCCCG